rfam:Cicer arietinum chromosome Ca6, whole genome shotgun sequence.
GGCCUGUGAUGUAUGAAAUUUGUCCGUACCAUCUGAGAUUCUCUGAUCGAAACAACAAAUUUUGAAUCUGAGGCCU